rnacentral:tRNA from 2 species
GCGCCCGUAGCUCAAUUGGAUAGAGCACUAGUCUACGGAACUAGUUGUUGGCCGUUCGAUCCGGCCCGGGCGCG